ACACCUCCAAUCCCUUCGUCUCCAUCAAGAACCCUAAAGCACCGCCCUAAUACUCCACCACUUUCCGCCGGCAGCGCCGUCCCCAAACACCUCCAAAACUACACCUUGCAAUCCUCAGCCCCUCCUUGUCCUAAUCCCAAAACAAUCUCACUCAAAUCAUAAUUUAAACCUUUGAAUUUCAUAUCAAAGAUCAGAGUUCCAUGAACCCUAAUCUUUCUCUCCUUGUCAAAAUUCAAGCGGUUCUUGGCCAAUAAUAGGUCGAAGCUUAUGCAGUCGACUCUUCUCCUUGAGAACGAGUGACUAGCAUGGAAUUCGAUUUGUUUCGAAGUCCAUCGGCCUCAAGUUGAAGAUUUAAUGACAAUGGUUAGUUUUGUUGCCGAAUAGUUGUUUGAGCCCUUUUGAAUUUGUUUAUGCUUUUAUUAACUUGGCCUUACCAUGUGUAUUUCCUUCAUAUUACAUUUCAUCUUAAGGUUGAAUUUGGGGUGUUAGUCUGUCGAGUUGGAUGUAUUUGCAGGAAGAAUGCAUCAUGUUAGUUUGUAGUCUACAUGUAUCUGGUUGAAGAGUUAUUCAUGUUUAGGAUAAUAUGCAUAAGUAGAGGAAUAUGAUUUAUGUUAGUUUGAUAUGUGAGUUUUGUCGGAUUUUUCUGAAAAAAUGUUGCCUAUGGUUAUAGUUGAAUACUCAUCAAACCAGUUCAUUCAUUUUGUUUCUUUUAGCAAAUUUGGUUUAGGCUUUGUUUCUCCCUUCAAUUAGCCUAUUGUUAUGCUGAUUUACCCUUUUAUGGCCUGUAAAAUGGCUCAGUUAUUCAGCACUGUCUUGCUCACGUUCAAGUAAUUUAAGUUUGUAAACUAUUUUUGAUUUGAUUCUUAGUUUAAUUUUAGUCCUAAAGGUGUUCAAAUUCAGCUUGGUGUUCACAUCUUGUUGUUUUUUUUUAUAAAAAUGUUUGAAAAAAAUAGAAUCUUUGUUCAAAUGAGUUAGCUGAUGCUUGCUUUCUACUUCUGGGCUUACUCUUAAAGCCAGAUUUCCUCACAAGUACUACCACUAUCGGAUAUUGGAUGUGCAGUUUAUUGGCAUAAUUAGGCUUGAAUCUGCAAGCCAUUUAAAAGCAAACAUUGCUUUAUUUUUAUGACGACCCAAAGGGUCAUCACCUAUUUUUUUAAUCGAAUCAUGUGUCCUCAAGGCCUUGAAAACCUCAUUUAGAGUUGUCUCAUUUUACGUGCACAGUCUGGACGCGUAGCCGAAAAGCUUAAAUAUGAAAUUCUGUGAAAAAUUGCUAAGUUUUGAUGUUAAAAUGAAUAAAUUUGACUUUGGUCAAUAUUUUGGGCAAACGGACCCGGACCCAUGAUUUGACCGUCCCGAAGGGUCUAUAGGAAAAUAUGAGACUUGCACGUAUGUCUAGAAUCGAAUUCCGAGGUCCCGAGCCUGAGAAAUGAAUAUUUUAGAAAAAUUAUUUUUUGGAAAUGUUUAUGAAAAUUGGAAAUGAAAUCUGAUUAGAAAACGAUGGUAUCGGACCCAUAUUUUUGGUUCCGGAGCCCGAUACGGGUCAUAUAUAUGUUCUAAGAUAUUUUCAAAGUGGACGUUGUUUGAGGUAAUCCUGACUUUAAUUGAAAAUUUUGAUGUUUAUGGGAGUGUUGAGAAAUUUUAGUGAUCUUGAGGUUUAAUUCGGUGUUCGUGAUGUUAUUUUGGUGAUUUGAUUACACGAAUAUGUUUGUAGACUAUUUUUGAAGUUGUGUGUAUAUUUGGGUUGGAGUUUCGAGGGCUCGGGUGAGUUUCGGGUAGGUUCCGGGAUGCCUUAGGCUUAGAAAUCAGAUAUUGCAGGUUUAGGAAGUUGCAGUCCUCUGAACCCACUUGUGCGGUCCGCGAGAAAUCGUGUGCGACCAUGAUCGCCUUUGUGCGGUCCACGGUGGAGGCUGUGCGGCCGUAGUCUCCUUUGUACGGUCCGUACAGGGUGUUGAACUGCAGGUCUUCAAGUAGCCUGUGUGGCCACGGUCUAUUUAGUGCAGUCCGCAGAGGGGGUCUCCCAGAGGUAUAAAUAGACGGGAUUUUCAGUUAUUUUUUAUUUUUCAAAAUCCUAAAACAUAAGAGGCGAUUUUUCAAUCAACCUUUCUUCUCCAAAUCAAUUGUAAGUCAUUUUUAUCUAGUUUUCUUCAAUCAUUAACAUCUUUUAACAUGAUUUCAACUUCAAAUUAAAGAUUUUCAUGGAGAAAAAUUGGGUGUUUUGAGUAGAACCUAUGUUUUCCAAAAUUUGGGGAUUUGGACCUGAAUUUGAUGUCCGAUAUCAAAAUAUAUUAUAUAUUUGAAUUCAUAGGGGAAUGGGUAAUCGGGUUUUGGUUCGAACCUCGGGUUUUGGCCACGUGGGCCCGGGGACGAUUUUUGACUUUUUGGGUAAAAUUUUAGAAAACUCAUUUUCAUGCAUUGAGGUUGAUUCACUUAGUGCUUAUUGAUGUAAAUAGGUGAUUUAUGAUUAGAUACGAACGAAUUGGCGGUGGAACUAAUGGGCAAAGCUAUAAUUGAGACGUGAGCUAUGUCUAAGGUAUCGAGGUAAGUGUUUGGUCUAACCUUAGCUUGAGGAAUUAGGAUUUUAGUCCUAUUUGCUAUGUGAUAAUUGUUGAGUACCACAUAUAGGGAUGGUGAUGAGUAUCUAUACGUUGGUGUCUAGCAUGAUCGUGAGUCUUUAUAUUGUGAAUAUCAUGAUUUCAUUGUUUCUUUCAUGCCUUGGUGAUGAUUUCUAUAUGGUGUGAAAAGCUUGUGAAAGAAAUUGUGAACUUUGAACAUCCAGGAUCAUUGGCUUGAGUUAUGUUACAAAUUAUGAAAGUAUAUGAGAUGAUUGAAUCUUUUGGAGCAUUGGCUCAAGUGAUAAAGUAAUUUGUGAAGUCAAACUAAUGAUUUCUAUAUGUUGUGAAAAACUAGCGAAAGGAAUUGUGACCUUUGAACAUCGAGGAGCAUUGGCUCGAAGAUAUUACAAAUUUGUAAAAGUAUAUGAGAUGAUUGAACCCUUUAGAGCGUUAGCUCAAGUGGUAAAAUGGGUUUUGAAGUAAUAGUAAAAGAAAGAGAAUGAGUUAUUACAUUGUUCCCUUUCCGGGUGUUUAUGGCUUUGUGGAUUAUUUUCCUUUCCGAGAUGCUGAGUUUUAUUGAUAUUGUUCCCUUGCCAGGAUUUAAAUGUUAAAUUGUGUUCCCUUGCCCGGAUUUCUAUUAUUACUUAUUUACUCCCUUUUCCCUUUGUUUGUGAUUUUUGUUUGAGUGAGGAAGAGUGUUAAAGCACGAAGGAUGAUGUCGUGUAUUUUUGUAUUGUGAGGAAGAGUGUUAAAGCACGAAGGGUGACGUCGUUCCACACGAUAUACCAUUUCAUGCAGAUUCUAUUGAUUAUAUGUGAGGAAAGAGAGUAAAAGCACGAAGGAUAAUUCCGUGCAUAUUUUUAUUAUAUCAUUGCUUGGUGAGGAUGAGAGUAAAACCACGAAGGGUAAUGCCUUACACAUUUUAUUAUAUCAUUGCUUUGUGAAGAUGAGAGUAAAAGCACGAAGGGUGAUGCCGUGCACUUGUUGCUUUCUGAUUCUUUAUUGAUGUCUAGUUAGUUGCUUUCUUUGUUAUUGGAAUUUUUAUUCGGAGUUGUUAUAUUUCCCAUAUGGGGUUAGGCUAAACACUUACCAGCAUAUGGGGUCAGUUGUGCUGAUUCUACACUCUAUGCUCUUUUGCAAAGAUCCAGGUACCGGACAACAACAUUAGUUGGGGGGCUUCCUCCAAUCCAUCUGGAGAUCCAAGUCAGACCUGCAGGUGUCCGCAGGCCCUGGCGCCUCCCUCUAUCUCUAUUUCCUGUUUCAUUUUCCCUUAUUCAGAAAUAGUGUAUUGUUAUUUCUUCAGACCUUGUAUGUAGUAAUCUUAGACAAUCUGUGACAUUGUGACACAAGGUUUUGGGUGGUUGAGACUUAAGUAACGGUAAUAUUUGCAUAUUUCAGAUGUUUAAUGGUUAUCUUUCGGUUAAUUAUCUAAAAUUCCAUAAUUUUCAUGUUAUCACCCUUUUAAUUUGUUAAAAGAAGUAAUUUGGUAAGUAUAUUUGUGGUUAAGUUUUGACUUGCCUAGCUCUCACUAGUUGGCGCCAUCACGACCCCGAGGGUGGAAAAUCCGGGUCGUGACAAGUUGGUAUGAGAGCUCUAGGUUACAUAGGUCUCGCAAUUCACAGACACUCUUAGUAGAGUCCGAGGGAUCGGUAUGGAGACGUCUCCAUUUAUCCCCCUGAGGCUACAGAGUCAGGAAAAGUUUCUCAUUUGUUCUUUCUCGUCGUUCGGUUUGGUUUCUCAAUGCUAAUUGAAUUUUUAAUCUAUUCUCUCGCAGAUGGAGAGAACACGCGCUUCCUCAUCUACUGAUCAGCCGUUAGAGCUCCCAGCAGUAGCCCCCCCACUAGGGGUAGAGAGCGAGGGCUAGGCCGUGCUAGGGGCCGAGGUAGGGGCAGAGCUCAGCCCCGAGCAAAUGCACCAAUGGUAGAGCCUCACGUUGAUUUUGAGGAGGAGAUUCCGACCCUAGCUGUUCUGGUGGGCCUAGCUCAGGUCCUGGAUGGGUUUAUUACUACCCCAGCUCUUCAAGACCCUCUAGUCUGAUUGGUACGCCUUAUGGAGAGUGUCACCCGAGCAGUUUUGCUUCCUAUAGCACCAGCCACUUCUCAAGCUGGGGAAGGGGCUUAGACUCCUACUACUCGCACUCCGGAGCAGGUAGCUCCCCAGAUUCAGACUCCAGUGGUUCAUCCAGUUGAGGUAGUACAGCCGGGUGUGGUAGCUUAGAUCGGCGAUGGAGCGGCUAUUUCCGUCGAUGCUUUAUGGAGGUUGGAGAGGUUCACCAAGCUUUUCAAUUUUACUUUUAGCGGUGCAUCUACUAAGGAUCCCAUUAUUAUCUGGAUAGUUGUCACGAGGUUCUUCGGAACAUGGGUAUUGUUGAGACCAAUGUGGUUGAUUUUACUACAUUUCACUUGUCUGGAUCCACCAAGACAUAGUGGAGCGAUUAUUGCUUAGCUAGACAAGAAAAAACGCCAUCCUUGACCUGGAAGCAGUGUACAAUGUUAUUUCUGGAGGAGUUUCUGCCCGUUACUCUGAGAGGCCUAUCGGAGGCAGUUUGAGCGCCUCCAGCAGGGUUUCAUGACAGUCACCCAGUACGAGACCAGGUUUAUUGACUUAGUUCACCAUGCUCUUAUUAUACUUCACAGAGAGAUGGAGAGAGUGAGAUGGUUUAUUGAUGGAAUCAUCCAGCCGAUUCGUCUUCAGAUGGCCAGAGAGGGUGGGAGCAAGAUAUCCUUCCAAGAGGCAGCCAAUGUGGCCCGUAGGGUUGAGAUGGUAUUAUCAUAGAGGGGGUGGUCAUAGGGCAGACAAGAGACCUCAUCAGUCAAGCAGAUUCAGCGGUGCCUCAUCUGGAGGCAGAGAUUCGUAUGAUAGAGGUCAUCAUCCUAGGCCUUACCAGUCAGCCCUCCUGGUUUCUCGCGGUGUUCAGGUGGCCGUGGUUCUUGCGGGCAGUAUUCUGAUCAACAGUCCUAUAGUGCACCACCAGCUCCUAUCAGUGCACCGUCUCUUCAGAGUUUCCGAGGUGGUCAUUCAGGUUGGCUGGGCCAACAGUCUCAACAGCCGAGGGCUUGUUACAGUAGUGGCGAUACAUGUCACAUUUCUAGGUUUUUCCCUCGAGCACCGAGUGACUCUCAGCAUCAGGGUUCUCGUGCUAUGGUAUAGGCACCAGAUUUUCCACAGUCUGCCCAGCCAGCUAGAGGUAGGGGUAGAGGUGCUUGAGGUGGAAAUCAGGCUGCCAGAGGUGGAGGCCAGCCAACAGCAGGUCGUCCUAGAUAGGUAGAUCAGAGUGGUAGGGCUCAACCUCGAUGUUAUGCUCUUUAGGCCAGGCCCGAGGUAGAGGAUUCAGAUGCAGUCAUUAUAGGUACAGUUUUGGUUUGUGAUACAGGUGCUUCGGUGUUGUUUGAUCCGGGGUCUACGUAUUCGUAUAUGUCAUCCUAUUGUGCCCCGUACUUGGUCUUGCCUAGUGAUGCAUUGGGUGUUUCUGUUUAUUUAUCUACAAUAGUGGGUGAUUAUAUUAUAGUCGAAGUCCAUCGUUUUUGUAUUUUGAUAAUUGGGGGUCUUGAGACUCAUAUAGAUUUCUUAAUUUAGACAUGGUUGACUUCGAUAUCAUAUUGGGGAUGGACUGGUUAUCACCUUACCACGCUAUCUUGGACUGUCAUGCCAAGACUGUGACCUUAGGUUUAUCGGGUAUGCCUCGUUUAGAGUUGAGGGGGACUCCUGGCAAUUUGACCGGUAGAGUUAUCUCUAAUGUGAAGGCUCAGCAUAUGGUCGAGAAAGGGUAUUUGGCCUAUUUGACAUACGUUCGCAAUUCUAGUUCCGAGGCCCCCUCUAUUGAUUAUGUUCCCGUUAUUCAUCAGUUCCCUAAUAUUUUUCCUUCAGACCUGCCCAUUAUGCCGCCCGACAGGGAUAUUGACUUUUGCAUUGAUUUGGCUUCAGACACCCAGCCCAUUUCUAUCCUGGCAUAUCGUAUGGCUCCACCUGAGUUGAAAUAGUUAAAGGAACAGUUGAAGAUUUGCUGGAGAAGGGUUUCAUUAGACCUAGUGUAUCACCUUGAGGUGCGCCGGUGUUCUUCAUUAAUAAAAAGGACGGUUUGAUGAGAAUGUGCAUUGAUUACCGGCAGUUGAACAAGGUAACAAUCAAGAAUAAACAUUCGUUGCCGAGGAUUGAUGAUUUGUUCGAUCAGCUUCAGGGUGCCAAGGUAUUUUUAAAGAUUGACUUGAGAUAUAGCUACCAUCAGUUGAGGAUUAGGGCAUUCAAUGUUCCUAAGACAGCUUUCCGCACUCGGUACGGGCAUUAUGAGUUCUUGGUUAUGUCAUUCGGGGUGACAAAUGUCCUAGCAACUUUUAUGGACUUGAUGAAUCGAGUGUUUGGGCCUUAUUUGGACUCAUUCGUGAUAGUAUUCAUUGGUGAUAUAUUGAUAUAUUGCCACAGCAAGGAGGAGCACGAGCAGCAUCUCAGGGUGGUUCUCCAAACUUUGAAGGAUAGUCAGCUAUAUGCUAAAUUUUUGAAGUGUGAGUUUUGGUUAAGUUUAAAUGCAUUCCUGGGUCAUGUUGUAUUAGUAGAGGGUAUUCAGGUUGAUCCGAAGAAGAUUGAGGCAGUCAAGAACUGGCCUAGACUAGCAUCAACUACAGAGAUUCGGUGUUUUUUGGGAUUGGCAGGUUACUAUCGUCGGUUCGUAGAGGGGUUCUCAUCUAUCGCAGCCCCGAUGACAAGGUUGAGCCAGAAGGGUACCUAGUUCAGAUGGUUGGAUGAGCGUGAGGCGAGCUUCCAGAGGUUCAAGACAGCUCUGACUACGGCACCGGUGUUGGUUUUGCCCACAGGUUCAGGACCUUAUACAGUUUAUUGUGAUGAUUCCUGUAUUGGGCUUGGUGCAGUAUUGAUGUAGGAUGGCAAGGUCAUUGCCUAUGCUUUGUGGUAGUUGAAGAUUCAUGAGAAGAACUAUCCAGUUCAUAACCUGGAGUUGGCAGCCAUUGUCCAUGCGUUGAAGAUUUGGAGGCACUAUCUGUAUGGCAUGGCAUGUGAGGUGUUCACUGACCACAAGAGUCUUCUGUACUUGGCCAAGCAAAAAGAGUUGAAUUUGAGGAAGAGGAGGUGGUUGAAGUUAUUGAAGGAUUAUGAUAUCACUAUUUUGUAUCAUCCAAGUAAAGCUAAUGUAAUGGCCGAUGCGUUGAGUAGGAAGUCAGCUAGUAUGAGCAGCCUGGCUUAUAUUCCGGUCGAUGAGAGGCCACUUGCUUUGGAUAUUCAAUCUUUGGCCAAUCAAUUUGUGAGGGUGGAUAUUUCUGAGCCUAGUCGAGUGUUAGCUUGCACGGUUGAUCGAUCUUCAUUGUUGGAGCGUAUUUGUGAUCGACAGUUUGAUGAUCCCUAUAUGUGUGUCCUCAGAGACACGGUGUAGUGUGGAGGUGCCAAACAGGUUACCUUAGGUGAUGAUGAGUCUUGAGAUUGCAGGGUCGAGUUAGUGUGCCUAAUAUGGAUGGGCUUCGAGAGUUGAUUUUAGAGGAGGCCCAUAGUUCCUGGUAUUCUAUUCAUCUGGGUGCCGCGAAGAUGUAUCAUGAUUUGUGGCAGCAUUACUGGUGGUGUAGAAUGAAGAAGGAUAUUGUUGCAUAUGUGGCUCUGUGUCUGAUGAAAAUUGUCAGCGGGUUAAGUACGAGCAUCAAAGGCCUGGUGGAUUGUUUCAAAGGAUUGAGCUUCCCGAGUGAAAGUGGUAGCGGAUCACUAUAGACUUUGUUACUGGUCUUCUGCAGACUCGGAAGAAGUUUGACGCAGUUUGGGUCAUUGUUGAUAGGCUGACCAAGUCAGCGCAUUUCAUUCCUGUGGCAGUCUCCUAUUCAUCCGAGAGGUUAGAUGAGAUCUAUAUUCGAGAGAUUGUUUGCCUUUAUGGUGUGCCCGUGUCUAUCAUUUCGGACAGGGGUACGCAGUUUAUCUCGAGCUUCUAGAAAGCAGUCCAACGAAAGUUGGGCACACGAGAUUUUGUUGAGCACAACAUUUCAUCCCUGUGAGCAUAUGAUUUUUACUCGGUUAAAACGCCUCCUACUGGACUCUCAAAAGUUUAGGAUUUUUCUUUAAAUAUUUAUUUUAGGAUUUUUUAUUUUUAGAAUAUAAUCGUGUGCUAGUGCGUGUUUAUUAAUGCAUGUUUAAAAUUGUUUAAGAUUUAAUUGUUAAAUAAGUUUAUUAUACGAUUUAAAAUACAAAAAUAUAUUUUGGCUAAGAUCUAUAUUCGAGAGAUUGUUUGCCUUCACUGUGUACCCAUAUAUAUCAUUUUGGACCGAGGUACACAAUUUACCUCGCGCUUCUGGAGAGCAGUUCAACGAGAGUUGGGUACACGGGUUGAGUUGAGCACAUAAUUUCAUCCCCAGACGGACGGUCAGUCCAAGUGGACUUUUCAGAUUUUUGAGGAUAUGCUCCGAGCUUGAGCCAUUGACUUUGGAGGUUCUGGAAUUAGUUUUUGCCUUUAGCAGAGUUUGCCUAGAAAAACAGUUAUCAAUCGAGUAUCCAGAUGACUCUUUAUGAGGCUUUAUAUGAUAUGCGGUAUCGAUCUCUGGUUGGAUGGUCUGAGCUGGGAGAGGCUCGGUUGUGGAGUACGGAUCCGGUUAAAUAGGCCUUGGACAAGGUCAGGAUCAUUCAGGAUAGGCUUCGUACAACUUAGUUCAGGCAAAAGAGUUAUGUAGACCGCAAGGUUCGAGAUGUGGCUUCUAUGGUUGGUGAGCGGGUAUUACUUCAAGUGUCGCCUAUGAAGGGCGUGAUUAGAUUUUGGGAAAAAGGGCAAGCUUUGCCCUAGGUUCGUUGGUCCAUUUGAGAUUCUUGAUCGAGUGGGAGAAGUGGCUUAUAGACUUGCAUUACCGCCGAGCUUAUCAGCCGUGCAUCUAGUGUUUCAUGUGUCCAUGCUUCGGAAAUAUCAUGGCGAUUCAUCCCACAUGUUAGAUUUCAGCACUGUCCAGUUGGACAAGGACUUGUCUUACGAGGAGGAGCCGGUGACUAUUCUAGACUGGCAGGUUCAUCAGUUGAGAUCCAAGAGUUUUCCUUCAGUUCGUGUUUAGUGGAGAGGUCAUCCUCCUGAGGCAUCGACCUGGGAGUUCGAGUCCAAUAUGUGGAGCCAUUAUCCUCAUCUUUUCCCCGACUCAGGUACUUCCUUCUUCUGUCCAUUCGAGGACGAACGAUUGAGGUGGAGAAUGUGAUAACCCAAAGGGUUAUCACCUAUUUUUCUAAUUGAAUCUUGUAUCCUUGAGGCCUUGAAUACAUCAUUUAGAGUUGCCUCAUUUAGCGUGAGAAGUCUUGGCGCGUUACCGAAAAGCUUAAAUAUGAAAUUUUGUGAAAAAUUGCUAAGUUUUGAUGUUAAAAUGAAUAAAUUUGACUUUCUUCAACAUUUUGGGCAAACAGACCCGUACCCAUGAUUUGACGGCCCCGAAGGGUCCGUAGGAAAAUAUGGGCCUUGAGCGUAUACCCGGAAUCGAAUUCCGAGGCUUCGAGCUCAAGAAAUGAAUUUGUUAGAAAAAUUGUUUUCUGGAAAUGUAUAUGAAAAUUAGAAAUGAAAUCUGAUUAGAAAAAGAUGGUGUUAGGCCUGUAUUUUUUGUUCUCGCGCCCGAUACAGGUCUUGUAUAUGUUCUAAGAUAUUUCUGUAAAAUUUGGUUCAAAGCGGACGUCGUUUGAUGUGAUCCAGACUUUAAUUGGGAAAUUUGAUAUUUAAAGGAGUUUUGAGAAAAUUCAGUGAUCUUGAGGUUUAAUUCGAUGUUCGUGAUGUUAUUUUGGUGAUUUGAUUACACGAAUAUGUUCAUAGAAUACUUUUGAAGUUGUGUGUAUAUUUGGGUUGGCGUUUUGAGGGCUCGGGUGAGAUUCGGGUAGGUUCCGGGAUGCCUUAGGCUUAGAAACCAGAUGUUGCAGGUUUAGAAAGUUGCAGGCUCUCAACCCACUAGUGCGGUCCGCUAGAAAUUGCGUGCGACCGCAGAGGGGCCAGCGCGGCCGCGGUCGCCUUUGUGUGGUCCGCGGUGGAGGCUGUGCAGCUGCAGUCACCUUUGUGCGAUCUGCACAGGGUGCUGAACUGUAGGUCUUUAGGUAGCCUGUGCGGCCGCGGUCCAUUUAGUGCGGUCUACACAAGGGGUCUGCCAGAGGAAUAAAUAGAUGGAAUUUUCAGUUAUUUUUUAUUUUUCAAAACCCUAAAACAUAAUAGGCGAUUUUUCAAGCAACCUUUCUUUUCCAAAUCAAUUAUAAGUCAUUUUUAACUUUUUUUCUUCAAUCAUUAACAUCUUUUAACAUGAUUUCAACUCCAAAUCAAAGAUUUUCAUGGGAAAAUUAGGUGUUUUGAGUAGAACCUAGGUUUUUCAACAAUUACGGAUUUGGACCUCAAUUUGAGGUCCGAUUUCAAAAUAAAUAAUAUAUUUGAGUUCAUAGGGGAUUGGAUAAUUGGGUUUUGGUUCGAACCCCGGGUUUUGGCCACGUGGGCCUGGGGAGUGAUUUUUGACUUUUUAGGUAAAACUUUGGAAAACUAAUUUUCAUGCAUCAAGGUUGAUUCAUUUAGCAUUAAUUGAUAUAAAUAAGUGAUUUGUGAUUAGAUACGAACGAAUUGGCGGUGGAACCAAGGAGCAAAGCUAUAAUUGAGACAUGUGUUGUGUUCAAGGCAUCGAGGUAAGUGUUUGGUAUAACCUUAGCUUGAGGGAUUAGGAGUUGAGUCUUAUUUUCUAUGUGAUGAUUGUUGAGUACGAUGUAUAUGCAUUGUAAUGAGUAUCUAUACGUUGAUAUCUAGCAUGAUCGUGAGUCUUUUAAUUGUGAUAUCAUGAUUUAAUUAUUAUUUUCAUGCCUUGGUGAUGAUUUCUAUAUGUUGUGAAAAACUAGCGGAAGGAAUUGUGACCUUUGAACAUCACGGAGCAUUGGCUAGAGGAUAUUACAAAUAUGUGAAAGUACAUGGGAUAACUAAACCCUUUGGAGCGUUGGCUCAAGUGGUAAAUGAGUUGUGAAGUGAAAGUAAAAGAAGGAGAAAGAGUUAUUAAAUUGUUCCCUUACCGGGAUGUUUGUGUCUUUGUUUAUUAUCUACCUUGCCGGGAUGCUGGGUUUUAUUGGUAUUGUUCCCUUGCCAAGAUUUAACUGUUAAAUUGUAUUCCCUUGUCGGGAUCUCUAUUAUUACUUGUUUACUCCCUUAUCCUUUAUUUGUGAUUGUUUUUUGGGUGAGGAAGAGUGUUAAAGCACGAAGGAUGAUGUCGUGCCGCACGAUAUACCAUUCCAUGCCGAUUCUAUUGAUUAUAUGUGAGGAAAGAGAGUAAAAGCACUAAGGGUGAUGGCGUGCAUAUUUUUAUUAUAUCAUUGCUUGUGAGGAUGAUAGUAAAAGCACGAAGGUUGAUGCCAUGCACAUUUUAAUAUAUCAUUGCUUGGUGAGGAUGAGAGUAAAAGCACGAAGGGUGAUGUCGUGCACUUGUUUAUUUUUUAUUCUUUAUUGAUGUCUAGUUAUGUUGCUUUCUUCGUUAUUGGAUGAUUCUUAUACGGAGUGGUUAUUUUCCCCACAACAUGCUCCCCCUUAUAUAUAUAUAUAUAUAUAGAUCCAACAAUGAACACCCACUCAAAGCUCAUGAUGCCCAAUAUAUAUAUAUAUAUAUGAACGACAAAGGUUUAGUUGGUAGUCUUGUUCUAGCUUCGUCAUUACUUCGCUGAGGUCAGGCUAGACACUUACCAGCACAUGGGGUUAGUUGUGUUGAUAUUACACUCUGUACUCUUUUGCACAGAUCCAGGUACCGGACAACAUCAUUAGUUGGAGGGCUUCCUUCAGCCAACCCGAAGAUCCAAGGUAGACCUGCAGGCGUCCGCAGGCUCUGGCGUCUCCUCUAUUAAUUGUAUUUACUGACAGAAGCAUUAGUUGUAUUUCCGUUAGAAGUUUUCUUUAGAAUAUUAAUUCAAGGAAUAUAAAAAAUUCAUUUGAGGUGGUUUUCCUUUAUUGAAUUAAUAACUAGAAAUUAAAGAAAAUGCUUUUAUAUUUUCUUUAGUAUAUUAAGACUAAAAAUUCAAAAAAAAAUCUUUUAGUACCUCUUUAAAGUUUUCUUUAAGAUAUUAAUUUCAAAAACCCAAAACGAUUUUCUUUUGAGAAAUUAGUGAAAAAGGAAUAGAGAAAACAAUUUUUUUAUAUUUUUACUAGAUUUUUAGGACAUUGUACGUAGAAGAAAAAUAGCAUACUUCAUCUUUAGUUUAUUUUCAGAUUUUCUCCCUUAGGUAAUCUAAUUGAAAUCCAGAAAUAUUUUUUUAUCUUGUUCAUUUCUCGUUUUGAAAUCUUUCUUUUGGGAUAUCAAAGAAAAUUUAAAUGUCGUUCUUUGGUUUAUUCUUUAGAUUUUCUUCCUAAAAAAGAAUCAAAAAAUAUUUUUAUCUUCUAGGGUUUUUUCUUAAUAAUUUCCAUAGAGUAUUUAUGUCAAAAAAAGAGAAAAUAUAUGCUCGUUAAGCUUGAGUUUUGAAUAGGUUAUAGAACAUUAAGUCUAGAAAAUUUAAAAAAAGAAAAAGAUUUACUUCUUUUAUUUCUCCUUUCUCACAAGAGUAGUCAUUAAUAUAAAAAAAGAACGAAAGAAAACAAAUGAGAACGUUAGUUUGUUUAUUUUAUUUCCAAUCUUCCAGAAAGAUCUAAUUCAUGCAGGGUCAUGAUACGCAGGUAACCUACAUAGUGUUCGAUCGAAUUAUUUUUUUAAUUAAAAGAUUAAAAAAAGAGAUGAAAUUAAGGAAUAUUGAGAGGAAAUAAAAGGAUGUUAAUUAAAAAAGAGAAGGAAAAUGAGAAAGCCAAGAAGUUCUAGAAAAGAAAAGAGAGGAUUGAAAUGAACAAAAUUGGAAUGAUGCCAAUUGACCUUAUGACCCUCGAAGUCAUUCUAGAACCAUUCAUUGUUGCUAGGUGCAUUGCACACAAUGUGAUAUUUUUGCUGUUAAAUGCCCUAACAGUAACAGGAUGACCCCAUUUUGUUCCUUUUGAUAUCUUCAUAGCAGAAAGGUGGUUGGUUUGUGGUUCUUAAAGUGGUAACUCUUCUCUACAACAUAAGCUCGAAAGGCAAUGGCAGACAACAAUGGAAUCAAGUCGGUUGAUAUUGGUGCCUAAAAGCAGUUGUUUGAACAAGGAAAUGGGUUGGUUGAAGAGGUAAGGAUGUUAAGACAACACAUCGAGGACAUGUAUCGGGUUUGGAUGACUAGGAAGUCACCACCCUCACCACCACCUAGCUUCUUAGAUUCUACCCUUACCCAAACUUCAGCCUUAGUGCCAGAUGAUUCCCCAUACUUUCAGAUCCACCCGCUUAUCAUGGCUUUCCCAACCACCCUAGUGGCUCCAACACCCAUCCUCCAAUUAUCUCUUCCCAAAAUUUCCCUCCUGUCAUAUCUACUACCCCCAUGAUCAUAACUUCUCAACAAUCUUGCCUUCAUAGAUCCAACAAUGAACACCCACUCAAAGCUCAUGAUGCCCAAUAUAACCCCUCAGAGGCUGCACACAGGGUUCCUUACUCAUACAAUGAGAGCUUUCAGAAUGAUCCUCAUGUUGAAAAUGAAAAAGUCACAGAGAAAGAAGGGCGAGAUGAGAUAUCCAGGAAGCUUAAAAGCAUUGAACAUUCCUUAAAGAACAUGCAAGGGAUGAGAGUCCAGGUUAACAUGUCUUACAAAGAAUUGUGUAUGUUCCUUGAUGUUCGCCUUUCGGCGGGGUUUAAAGUGCCAAAGUUUAACUUGUAUGAUAGGUGUGGAGAUCUUGUAGCCUAUCCGAGGGGUUAUUGAAGUGAAAUGAGAAGUGUUGGCGAGAAAGAUGAUUUGUUGAUAGCAUAUUUCAGUGAGAGCUUAACUGGGGCAGCUUUGGAAUGACAUAAUCGUCAAAAUCUCGAUAAGUGGCAUACAUUGGGCGACAUGGCUCAAGAUUUGUUUCGACACUUUCAAAACAAAUUAGACAUUACCCAGACUGCUCCUCCCUAUCUAAUAAAGAAAAGAAAUAGAAGGAAAGCUUUAGGGAGUUUGGGCUCAGAAGGAGGGAGCAAGCUGCUCGAGUUAGUUCCCCGAUUGGUGAAAAAGAAAUGGUUGAGCUUUUCCUACAAGCCCAGGGGCCCACCUACUUCAGUCAUUUGAUUAUGAUCUUGGGUAUGUGGUAAAAAUGGGAGAGAUGGUGGAAUAAGGAAUCAAGUCAGGAAAAAUGAUGAGUUAUUCGACAUUGAAAGAUACUAUGGAAGACAUUCAAAACAUCCUAGUAAGUUUGGGUGGAAGAAAGAGAAAUAGAAAAGAUGAUCCGCUAGGCAUUCCUGCUCAACGCUUUCAGCCUCGACGUCGACCCCAUGGAUAUCCUUGUGCACCAAAUGAUCCUCCCUAAUGAUACUUCUCUCCACAGAACCCCUAAAGUCGUACAUCACUUUCCCAGUACCCUAUCAACAAUGCACCACCAUAUGAUCCACACUCACGAGGCCCGUGAUGGCCUGCACCACUUCUCCAAAUGUCUUACCUUCCCCCUCAAGCAUAUUAGCCACCUGCCCGCAAAAGGUUCCAACUGAGGCUAGAAUACAAACUGAAAAAGGAAAAGGCUUUCACCCCUAUUGGAGAAUCAUAUGCUAGUUUGUUCCAAAGGUUGAGGCAAUUGGACAUGUUGAAGCCGAUUCAGAUAAAAAUGCCAAACCCUUUGCCAAAGAAGUUUGAUUUUUCUGAAAGGUGCGCAUAUUGCUCCAAUGCCCUAAAUCACAUUACUGAAAAGUGUUGGCACCUGAAAAAAGUAAUUCAGAAGGAUAAAAAUGCCAAACGCUCUUGCAAAGAAGUUUGAUUUUUCUCAAAGGUGCGCAUACUGCUCUGAUGCCCCGGGUCAUAGUACAAAAAGGUGCUGGCACCUGAAAAAUGCAAUUCAGAAGCUUAUUGAUGCAGGUGACAUUGUCAUGCAAAAUCCAGAUGCAGCAGACACUAGCCAAAGUCCAUCGCCUGUUUAUAAUAAGACGCAUAUAUAUGAUUUGUUUAGAAAAGGAAUACGAGAAUUCAUCUAGAUCCUUGAAGCUCCACGCGUUGCAAAGCUUUCAACGCUAUCAGAGGUUGAUCUUAAGAAUGAGCCGGCCAAGGGAACCCAAAAGCAAUUUGCUAAGAACAAUGUGAUGAAGACUUGUGAAGGUCCUAGUAUUGUUGAUACAUAAUUCAGUGGCUAAGAUGUUGAGCUUGGUGAUUUGAAAGAUGCUCCUUUCUUAGGUAGCAGGGAGGAGUCUUGGUAGUUUAUUUUGUUGUCAUUUAUGUUUUCCAGUUUAUUUCGGGAUUGUAAUCUGGAUAUUAUCUUGUGGCUCAAACCCUUAUAUCCUUUUAAUUUGCCUGGUUUGUUUAGUCAUAGUAACUCGUUUAGUGUUUUCUAGGUUUGUUCCAGGGUUGUAACCCCAAUUUAGUGCUUGUUUUAUUGUUCAAACCCUUCACCAUUUGUCUAAUGCAAUUUUUUGUUUUGUAUUAUUUCUAGUCAUUUUAUUGGUUCUCUUCUCCAUUUAUAGUUCUCUUUGUGCUGGUUCCGGUGACAUGACAUGUAUGAAUAAUUCUAGGCCUGGUCUUAAAGGUUAGUUUAAUCAUGAAGCAAUAAAACAAUUGUGAAGCUGAUAGGGACAUUUGAGGUAAAUGAGUAAAGGCAUUUCGAGAUCAUUUGAAGCCCAAGCUGUGUGGAAAUGGGGCAGAUAAUUGGGAAAAUUAAUAGGGGGACAAGGAUUCGUUAAAGGAGAGUGCAUCUCGGACGAUUUGAAGCAAGAAACUUUGAGUUCAGUGCAUCUCAAGUUACAUGAUAAAGUCAGGAAAGUUUUCUUUAAAUCGACGGAGGAUAUCCAUUGUGAAAAGAGAAUCAUCUAAUGAGGGUUCUGUACUUGACAAGGCGCUAAAGAAAAGUGGAAGGAAUAUUAGUAAUACCAAUGUCGAAGCCGCAAAAGAAAUAUUAUGCAUGAUCUUCAAUUUUCAUUUCAAGUUGCAUGUGUUGUAUUUGGCAUUUUUCAGGGAUUGUGAGGCCCUCUUUCAGCUACCAAAAUACUUACACCAUUUGAUACCCUUUUGAGCAUGUACUAAUUUUCUAUGACCUCCCCUCUUUUUGAAUCAAGUUAGAGCCAUAUGAAAAUAAAAGAGAAAAAAAGAGAGAAAAAAAAUAAAGAGUUCAUGUCCCCAUAGGUUUAUUUUAGAAAGUUUAUUCCAAAAGAAAAUUUUAAAAAACGAAAAAAAGGAAAAAGAAUAAAAACGAAAAGGAAAAUAGUAACAAAAGUAGUCUCAUGAACUACGUUCGACCUGAUUCCUUUUAAGGAUAUGUAGGCAGCCUCACGGUUAGGUCCCAUCAAAAUAAAAUUCAAAAGUCCCCAAGCAAAAAAAUUGGGGAAGAAGUUGAUUGUUGUAAGAAAUCUGAUUCCGAAAGUUGUAAUUUUGAACCCAUUUGAGUUGUUUUUAACCUUUUUAUAUCCUUUCUUUCUAAUUCUGUCCAAAAGCCACAUUACAGUCCCAAAAAGACCACCAGGAUAAUCUUUGAGAGGGCCAAGCUAGACAAGCUAGGAGUAUAUGAUAUUUUACUAUGGGUAAUGCCUUGUCAUCUACAGAAUCGGAGGAAAUAAGGAAAAAAAUGAGAGAGUCUUAUUGGUGAAAACCUUCAAAGGCACCAUAAGGUGACGGUGAGUUGAGAGAAAGAACAAAAUGAGAGAGGCUUGAUGGUGAAAACCCUUCAAGCACUACAAGUUGAAUAAGGAUUAUGAACUAGAUUGGAUAAUCAGAGCAUUGAAGCCCAGUUUCACAGUUAGCGUAUAACAGGAGUUGAACAUCAGACUUUCUUGACAAAUUAGUCCAUUUAAUCUACAGGUGCAUGUCAAGGUCAUUAGAGUUGGUAUUCAUAUUUGAUAAAUUUUUACUUUGUAGUUUCCUUGCUAGGAAUCAUCUCUUUCCAUUACCCUUUACUCUGUUCUGUUUGUCUUGUUUACUUCCUCUUUCGAGUCUGUUUGGUCAAAACAAGUGAGAAAUGACUUCAAAAUUUGCCACCAGCUUUCCAAUUGCACAAAACGGGAUCUGGAUAGCACAUCAAAGUGGCAUAAGUCAGGAAAGAAUAGCGUACGCACUGAGUUAGUAACAAUUAACAUACUUUGGGAUUCAUGUGAAAUAUAAAGGUUUGGUAUAUGUCAAUUCAUGAACAAUGCAAUAGAGGGAGGGUGUGGGGUGAACGGAUCAAAGGUAUUUUAUGUGAUAAGAUUGACAAAGGAAGUGGUUAACCAGAGGCAAGCAAGGUCUUCCAAGCGGAAAUCAGUAUAUCAUACCAAGUGAAGGAGCAAUAGACCUCAAGGCCAAGGCCAGUGGUUUAAGUCAAGAAAAAACAUCAUGCGCACUAAGAUUCUUGUGAAACACAAAGGUUCAGCAUAUGUCAGUAUGAGCACAAUGCAACAGAUGAUCGAUAUUGGGUUUGAAUGAAUCAGAGGUAUUCUCCGUGAUAAAACUGAUAGAGAAAAGUGGUCAGUUUAUAAAUAGGUAAGGUUUUUGAGUUGAAACCGAAGUUGUCAUGGGAAGUGAAUGAGCAACCGCCCUCAAAGUUCAAGGCCACAAACCAACCACUAUGCUUAAAUUCAUAAGUUUUUUUGAUUGAGACAGGGGCAGGAAAUUUUGUUUGUUCUGGAGAAACCCUCGGUGAGGAAUGCAGGUACCAGAUAGGCUCGGUAGUGAAUUCCCGUACCUUCCUAGAUAACAGGAUUUAGUAAGUUUUGAGACCCUCACAAAUGAUAAGGUUUGAUGAGAGGGCUACUUUUGGGAAGUGUAAUUUGGAAUCUAAGCUUUUCACUUUUGAGAUAAGGUUUGGUUUGAAAUUUUCAAGAUAAAGGAUUUUAGUUUAGAAUUUGUUCUACUCACAGAUGCUCCCAGUACCAAACUGGGCAGAAAAAUUUCUUUUGUUUAUCUGUUUUAUUGUAAUCAGGUUCAAAUAAAAGCAGCAAUCUCAAAGGACUCAGUUCGAGUUCGGGAAUCAAGAAUCCACCAGAAGAACAAAGAGAAAAUAGCAGUUUCAGAGGAGUCAGUUUGAGUUGGAAAUCAGGCACCCACCUGGAGAACAAAGGAAAGUAGUUCAAGUUUCAUGGGAAAGUAAUGCAAGUGUUCAGAAAUCAGGAGCCCACCUGAAGAACAAAGGAGGACAGUUCAAGUUUUAAGGAAAAGCAGCACAAGUGUUGGUACUCAGGAGCCCACCUGGAGAACGAAGAGAAGAAGCAAUGUUCAAAGGAAAACAAAAAUUAGAAGCCUAACUGAAGAAUAAAAGGAAGCAGCAAGGCUCAAAGGAAGACAACAAUCAGGAGCCCACCUAGAGAACAAAGGGAAAACAUCAAGGUUCAAAGGAGUUCAGCAAUCAGGAGCCUACCUGAAGAACAAAGGGAAGUAGUUAAAGUUUCAAGGAAAAGAAAAACAAGUGUUGGUAACCAAGAGCCCACCUGAAGAACAAAGGGAAGCAACAAUAUUCAAAGGAAGACAGCAAUCAAGACCCCUCUAAAGAAUAAAGGGGAGCAACAAGGUUCACAAGAGUUCAAUAAUCAGGAGCCCACUUGAAGAACAAAAGAAAAGCAGCAAGGUUCAAAGGAGUUCAGCAAUCAGGAGCCCACCUGAAGAAUAAAGGGAAGCAGUUCAAGAUUCGGGAAAAAGCCGCGCAAGUGUUGGUAAUCAGGAGCCCACCUGGAGAACGAAGGGAAGCAACAAUGUUCAAAGGAAGUCAGCAAUUAGGCGCCCACCUGAAAAACAAUGGGAAAGCACCUCAGAAUACAAUUCAAGCCAGGAGCAAAGGAAUUUCAUCUGUAGAGUACAAGUCAAAAAAGCAGCAGAAACUGUAAGAGAAAGUUUGAAGAUACAGAUAAGAUUCUUGUAAUUCAUAGAUCAUAGUUAGUCCAGCUUCUUUUAUUUUUGUCUUAGUGUAAUAAUGAGUUUCAGCAAGUAGUAGCAGGAGUGUAGGCCAAGGAUAUGAUUCCUUUAUAGCUGAUCUGAUUCCUUUAUAGCUAAGGAUAUGUAGGCAACUCCAAAAGCAAGGUGUGGUCAAAUCUUUUCAAAUUCUUCCCACGGAGUAUUCAAACGAGCGAAAAUCACUUGUAUCUGUUCACUUUAUCUUUGCGCGAAAACUCUUCGUGUUUUCGAGCAAAGAGGGGCAGCUGUGAGCACGUGAUUUUUGCCAUAUGUGAAUUACUCCCAUAAAUUCAAGAAAAAUAAAUUUUCCCGUUAUUUGUAAUUUCGUAGAGUUUUGGCGUAUUUUGUUAUUGUUUGCAAUUGUCUGUGCAUAUUUAAUUUUAUUUAAUUCAUGAAAAUACAAAAAUACAUCACAUUUGCAGUUAGGAUUUAGUUCUACAUUUUUAGGUUAAUAAGCAAUCUAUUUGUCUUAUAAAAAUGAUUAAAAUCACAAAAAUAACUCAUUUUGCAUUUUUAGCCUUUUAACUUUAAAUUUUGUACUUUCUUUUAAUGUGGAAAUUAAUUAAUUGCUGUAAAUUUUAUGAUGAGUAAUUAGUUUAAUUUGGAAAAUUAAUUUAGUUUAAGAUUUAAAUUAAUUUGAAAAGAAGAAGAAGAAGAGAAAAACAAUUGAAAAUUGAAAAUAAAAUAAAAGGGUUGUUGACAUAGGGCUACUAUUAUCGCGGCCCAAACAAUUUCCCCUUCCCACCCGUUCCGGAUCCAUUCAACUCCAAUCCCAAACCAAAGACACAGCCUGGUCCAACCCAACCAUAACUUAGACGACGCCAUUUUGACCAAAGCCAAUCAUUCCGCUGAUUUCCCCCCCCCUCCCUUGAGGGAUCCAAACACCCUCAAUCCAUUAAUCUCUAUCAUGAACCAUAAAGCGCCGCCCUAAUACUCCACCACCAUCCGCCGGCGGCGCGGUCCCCAAACACCUCCAAAAAUACACCCUACAAUCCCUAACCCCUCCAGGUCCUAAAUCGCAAAACAAUUUUACUCAAAUCAUAGUUGAAACCUUUGAAUGUCAAAUCAAAGACAAGAGUUCAUGAACCCUAAUCUUGCUCCCCUUAUAAGAAGUCAAGCGGUUCUGAGUCGAUAAUGGGUCAAAGCUUAUGCCAAUCGACUCUUCUCCUUGAGAACGAGUGACUAGCAUGGACUUAAUUUGUUUCGAAGCCAAUCAGCCUCAUGCAAGACCAAAUACCAGCAAGUCUGUUAAAGGAUGCCUGCCACCAAGUCACUCAUUUCUCUCUGGUAGCUUCAGUAUGUGUUUUUCCUUUUAUGUCAUUUUUCUAAUUUCGGUUGAAUUCUCGUUAACGUAGUUCAUUUUGAGAAUAUAAUUGGGGUUAAAUGCAAUUAAGUCAUUUUUUUGCUGUUUAUUUUGCUUGAUCAUUUGUUUAUUUUAACCGGUUUAGUUCAUAAGGUUCGAAUUAUUGCUAAAUUUAUUAAGUGUUUUUCUUUUUUGGUUUAAAUUAUUUGAGUUCUCUAUGACCCCUUUCUUUUCCCUUCCUGCCUUUUCUUUCGUUUGACCUGAGCAGCCCGAUUCAUUUGAGCUUCAAUGCUCUUUGUUUGAUGGUUUAAGUUGGGAUAUUAGUAUACAGUCCCAUGGGUUUGGACUGGGUCUUGGGAUAAUUUGACCCAAUUUUGGCGGCCUGAGGGUAAAUACAGAAGGUGUCAAGGGCUACUUUGGGCAUUUAGGUUGGUAGGGAAUCAUUUCUGUUAGCAUAGAAGCUUCUAAAGGAUAAUGUUUGGCUGGUUGGUUAAGGGGAGGGAAUUUUCAGAUAUUUUCAAGGGUUAAAAGAGGUAAAAUAACCAUGAAUUGGAAGGGUGAAAGAGGAAAUAGUCAUUAGGCUAGGGCUGCCUUAGGCUGCCUAUGUAAUGACUUCUUUUACUUAUUUCAAAGGCAGCCUUGGAUAUUCUGAAAAAUACAACAGUCUUUUCUGCAUCAUUUCAACUUAAAUUGCUGAAAAUUGCUCUCUAGUUCAUUGCUAGGAGUAGAUUAUAACGUUCAAAAGAUUUUUUGGCUCAUCUUAGUCCGAAAAUGGUCUAGAAGAAUUGAGUAAUGCUGUUGUUGAUGUUUUGAGCUGCUGGUACUGCUUGAAGUUCUCACUCAUUUACUUUUAUUUUAUUUCCAGGUAUGCCUUGUCUCUUGAGAAACAUAUGGGGUGCAAAAUGUAAAACCAUGUAAUUAAGCUGAAGAUUUAAUGGCAAUUUCUAGUUUCAUUGCUGAAUAGCUGUUUGGGCCCUUUUGAAUUUGUUUAUGCUUUUAUUAACUUAGACUUACUAUGUGUAUUUCCUUCAUAUUACAUUUCAUCUUAAGGUUGAAUUUGCGGUGUUAGUCUGUC
rnacentral:lncRNA from 1 species